UAAGAGGCUUCUCUUGAAGCCACCUUAUCCUAAUAAACCCAUUGUCU
rfam:Callithrix jacchus chromosome 2, whole genome shotgun sequence